AGCGAACUUUAGGGGUGUCUGCGAUCAAAUGCAGGCUGAGAUUUUACCCUUAGAACCUGAUCCGGAUCAUACCGGCGUAGGGAAAAGUAGACUGUCUUCA
rnacentral:ncRNA from 2 species